rnacentral:rRNA from 1 species
CCUACGGGAGGCAGCAGUGAGGGAUAUUGGUCAAUGGGCGCGAGCCUGAACCAGCGAAGUAGCGUGAAGGAUGACUGCCCUACGGGUUGUAAACUUCUUUUGUAAAGGAGUAGAGUGCGGCACGUGGGCCUUUUUGUAUGUACUUUAUGAAUACGGAUGGGCUAACUCCGUGCCAGCAGCCGCGGUAAUACGGAGGAUCCGGGCGUUAUGCGGAUUUAUUGGGUUUAAAGGGGGCGCAGAUGGGUUGUUAAGUCAGUUGUGAAAGUUUGCGGCUCAACCGUAAAAUUGCAAUUGAUACUGGCAGUCUUGAGUACAGUUGAGGUAGGCGGAAUGCGUAGUGUAGCGGUGAAAUGCUUAGAUAUCACGAAGAACUCCGAUUGCGAAGGCAGCUUACUAAACUGCCACUGACAUUGAUGCUCGAAAGUGUGGGUAUCAAACAGGAUUAGUUACCCUUGUAGUC